UGGGGGAUAUUGCACAAUGGGCGAAAGCCUGAUGCAGCGACGCCGCGUGGGGGAUGAAGGCUUUCGGGUUGUAAACCUCUUUCGCUAUCGAACAAGGCCCGCUUAGGGUGGGUUGAGGGUAGGUGGAGAAGAAGCGCCGGCUAACUACGUGCCAGCAGCCGCGGUAAUACGUAGGGCGCGAGCGUUGUCCGGAAUUAUUGGGCGUAAAGGGCUUGUAGGCGGCUUGUUGGGCCUGCUGUGAAAACGCGGGGCUUAACUUCGGUCGUGCAGUGGGUACGGGCAGGCUUGAGUGUGGUAGGGGUGACUGGAAUUCCAGGUGUAGCGGUGGAAUGCGCAGAUAUCUGGAGGAACACCGAUGGCGAAGGCAGGUCACUGGGCCAUUACUGACGCUGAGGAGCGAAAGCAUGGGUAGCGAACAGG
rnacentral:rRNA from 1 species